rnacentral:rRNA from 1 species
CCUUUGACGUUAGCGGCGGACGGGUGAGUAACACGUGGGUAACCUACCUAUAAGACUGGGAUAACUUCGGGAAACCGUAGCUAAUACCGGAUAAUAUUUUGAACCGCAUGGUUCAAAAGUGAAAGACGGUCUUGCUGUCACUUAUAGAUGGACCCGCGCCGUAUUAGCUAGUUGGUAAGGUAACGGCUUACCAAGGCGACGAUACGUAGCCGACCUGAGAGGGUGAUCGGCCACACUGGAACUGAGACACGGUCCAG